UACAGAGGUCCCAAGCGUUGUUCGGAUUCACUGGGCGUAAAGGGUGCGUAGGUGGCCGGGUAAGUCUGACGUGAAAUCUCCGAGCCUAACUCGGAAACUGCAUCGGAUACUAUCCGGCUUGAGGGUUGGAGGGGGGACUGGAAUACUUGGUGUAGCAGUGAAAUGCGUAGAUAUCAAGUGGAACACCAGUGGCGAAGGCGGCUCUCUGGGACGGUACUGACGCUGAGACGCGAAAGCGUGGGGAGCGAACAGG
rnacentral:rRNA from 1 species